CCAAGUGCUUGGCAGAUGCUGAUUUUUAACACGGAACAGAGCGGAUAUUGUGACUUUGAAGACUUUGGGUCUCCAGGCCUCUGUGACCUCAGUUCAUUUCACUCCUAGGUGACCACACUUCAUCCAUGUGGCAGGGCCUGGUGUUGCCCCUAGGAAGGAUCUAUGGCAAAACAGCAGUGAGCCUCAAACAGCAGGCAGUUCUCCCUAUGCUUCUGGGAUAACUCAGGGAGGGAGGCACUCUCCUCGUGAAGGGACCAUCGAAGCAUCCUGGUUGAGAACCUGUAGUGAACUGCUGCCUGAAGACUCCCCACUUCCACCUAAUGAGAGCCUCACAGAAAACCACACUAACACUGAAAGCAAUAAGGCCUAGUAAGGAGAUCAGCAGUUGGAUCUGCAUAGCAGUUCUCCUAUGGAGUCCAGAUAUCACCCACAUUCUGAGCCAGACCUGCUUCUAGAGAACCAAGUGCAAAGUCUGGGAAUCAGCAUUAAUUAUGGAUUAUUGAGAAGAAGGUUCUUAAUUAGGCCUUUCUGGGCUACCAGGCUUAGCUCUGCUAAAUUCUCUCUGCUGGAGCUCUCACUCCCUUGCCACCAAUGAACCAGAAAGCAAGGCAUGACAGACCUUGAAGCUUCCCUGCUCUCAGGCAUGAAGAGCUGAAAAUCCAUCCUCCAAGGAAUCUCUCACUCUUGUCUCUGCAGCAGGAGAUCUCCGGGCUCCCAGAAUUCAUGCCAUGACCCUAUAGAAAAGCUCUAACCUACAUCAUAGGACAGCCCAGAGUUAAAACCAUUGGCUGUUCUUUUGUCCCCACCAGGUACAGUAUCAGAAAUCCUUUUGACUGAAAAACAAAAUAGAGUUUCC
rnacentral:lncRNA from 1 species